GUACUACAAUCACUCUUCAGCUUGGGUCUACUUGGCUUCAUUUCCUGGGUCCCUUUAUUACCUCUCCAGCAUCUGGUCCUCUUAUGUUAUUUAUAUGUGGUCCUGUUAAGCACUUGUGUACUUAGAGAUUUUAAUACUCCUGCCACUGCUAUGGGUUAUAUGACCUGACAUCCCAAGUAAAUGCCAAUGGGGCAGAUGAGUCAACCUGGAAAUGGAAGAAGUUUAUUUUUGGAGUUGUCAAAUUUCUGUCAAUGGAAAACAAGUGAUAGGAAGUCAAAAGCUUUCCUUCCCUUGCCUCCUCUCUCAGACUGGUCCAAGGUACAGAUUCACAACAUGUCUUUUUUAAGAACAUCCUUUGUGGAAGGCUGCCUCCCUUGCAUGGGGCCUUUCGACUGCUCUUGUCUGAGGCCUCCAACGACAGAGUCUCCCUUGAAACUCCCAAAAGGAGGAAGAAGAGGUACCUGUGGCAUGACAAGGCCCCUACACCUACUUGGCCAUGAUUGCCUUGAUAAUUCAGGCCACACCUUUCGACAGCCUGAAGCUGGGCUAGAUCACCCAUCAGGCCCAGACAGUGUUCCUCUUUUUCAGGAGCAAUUACUAGGGUUGGAAAGACUCCAUCCACCACAACUUUUCCUCUAAUGGGUGCUUCUGAAACAUGCUCAUGGGCAGCUUCUGGGCAGUGGACAUGGGGCUGAUCCCAGCAGACGCACUGCAUCUUCAGAACACUGCCUUGUGCCAAUGAUGGUAGACUCAGGGCACACACAGAGCUUAUGCCUGAGGCCCUAUGAGCUUCAUGGCUGGCCUUAUUUGCCAUCCAGUCCCCCAGGGAGGGUUUCAGCAUCAAGUCCCUGCUAGAGGACCUGUGAAAGAAUCAACAUGGCCCCGGCAGCCUUCGCUACCUGGACAGAGCACCUCAGCUCAGGCAGGCACCUGUUCUAAGGGGGAUGAACAGGUGUGCACUGUACACCCUAACUCCUCUGAGAAGCUUCUGUGCCACCCCACCCUUGCUCCCUUGCUGGGCCCACAAGAAUAGAGGGGGAGACUUCCCAAGAGGAAGUUAUCAGGCUUUCUCCCUUUUCCCUAGAGCAAGGCACCUGGCCUAUACACUUAAGAGUUUCCUCAGAUCCCAUCUGAGAGUGUCCAUCAAGGGAGCAGAGCUUCCUUGUGGGGACAGCUACUCACCUCUUACUUGCCCAUCUACACUCCCAAUGUAGUAAUGCUCUUGGCCACACUUCUUGUUCCCAGUGCCCAUCCUCAACCAGUCCAGCCUGCUGGAGCAGAGGUAUUGAACCUUAAGGGUCCCAGGAGCUGAUCUAGAUUCUUCUUCCAGGGAGUACCACCCAACAAGAGUAUCUAUGAUGUGUGUCAGCCCUCCUUGGGGUCUGGCUGUUCCUGUCUCAGGCUGGCCAAUCAUGUCUUGAUUCUCACACACAAAGGGACCAUGUGUGGAGAAGCAGGACUUGGACUCCAGUACUGCCACCUUUUUUGAUCCCAUCUUCUCAGGCCCUUGUGCCAUCCAUCUCUCCAUCCCUCUGUCACCAUGCCUUCCUGGCUCCAGGUUGGGGGAUAGCCAAGUGAGUCCAAUCUGAAGUCUUGUCCCCAGCCCCCAGCUGCCUGUACCUUUUAGGGAAAGGGCUAGGAAACGAAAGACUGGACCCAGCACAAUUUGGGGGUGAUGGAAGUAGGGGAGAGAUUAACAGUAAAGGAGUUUACAGCAUUAAAAAAAAGAACAUCCUUUGAGAAAAAACAAGCAUACUGAACAAGUGACCCACCAUGUCUCUCUCUUCAGGGCUCAUGAUGAGAACUCACACAUGACCUCACAGAGUGUAUAAUACUCACUCAGUGUAAUAUGUCAAUUGGCUUCUGCUUCUUUUUCCUCCACUCUUAAUAUCAGAAAAUCUUACCUCUCCAGUAGACUCUUAGCACUUAAUUCUUAUCUCAUGCUUUUUGUUGAACAGGAAACUACUUGAGCCAAGACAGGUAGCACAGGGAAAAACAGCAUCAACAAUGACCACAAAAAGCCUCUGGACCUGACCCUGCACACCAGGACUUUCAGGGUCUGACCUUAGCUCUUAUUGAGUGUUUUCCUUCGAGGUAGUGGUAUGCUUGCUCAUGCAGAGUGGUCCUAAAUGCAAUUUCAAGUGUCAUUAGAAGAAAUAGAUGGAGGGAGAUUUGCCUAUAGAAGAGCCCUGACUGGUCAGAGAAGCAGAGACUGGGGGAUCUGGUAGCCUCAUUAUUAUAUUCUCCAUUUAUCUGAGAUCAAGUCUGCAGCCUUCACAGCUGUAAAAAUAUCUGAUUUACAUCUGCUUGAGACUGAAGCUUGAAGUGAAAAGUACUGGGCAAUUAUUUCCCACUUUGAAGAGAACAUAUCUCUUGUGAGAGAAGGAAGACAGUUAGUCCAAGCCUUACUUCUAUUUCUCUAAAGAACAUCAUCCAUUUAAAUGUCCUGUAAGAAUACCCUAUACUGUAAGGGAAGGCAGUAGAGACUUGAAUUCCUGUUCCCCAAGGUAGGCAACUUGGGGACUCUCCACCUCACAGGGGAGCCUAAAAGGUGAAGAGAACAUCAAUAAGCUGGGUGAUGCCCACAAGAGCGUAUGACAGGACAAGACGAUUGGUUACCUGCCUGGCAUUCAGGGAUGCUUACUGCGUAAGAUGGUCACAUUCCUGUGUCAAUGCUGCAUUGUGUCCCCUUCUAUCACCAAUUGUGGCCCACUAACAACUGCUGAGACAAGAGAUCUGGGGAAGCCUGAAGCAGGGUCAGCAAAGCUGCUGACUGAACUCUGGUGGCCAAAUACUUUAUUCAGCUUGAUGAGGAUAAGAACUGGGACUCCGCUGGAUUGUUAUAGGCUGAAGCUUUGACUGGAGAAAUGAUAGCCACCCUACCCUCAAAUGACUACCCCGAAGAACUUAACUGGACAACGAAAUGGUAAAUAUCUAGUACAAUACCUGUGCCAGUCCUGAUCGGUCCUUUCCCUUCAGAGCAGCAUGGAGAACAUUGCUACAAAAAGGAAGGAAGAACCAAGCUGAACUCCAGCCAGGCCCCUUGUGUGUCCACUCUAGAGGCUGAGCCUGCUGGCCCAAAGAAACUUGUCUGCUUCCCAGCGUGUUUGAUGGAGCACAUCCGGUUUAAAUUGUCAAUUGUCAGCACAUCCCAGAGCUAGGAAAUAUCAGAGGGAAUUACUGACUGUUUUAUUGAUUUAAUCAGAUACUUUUACACAAAUUAUAGUCCACAAAAUUAUGGGCUCCCUGUAGUCUUGAACAAGGCAGAGCUUCAGUGUAGCUUAAAGUGGAAAGUACCAUCAUCGCUGCAGGUAGGAUCCAGAGGAGCAGAGAUGAACUAAGACAAACGCAGGAAAAGCAGAGGGAGGGAUUUGUUCAGAAGAUGUUUUCCUAGUGCUAGAGAGUGAGCCAGGAGAUGCUCUACCUUUGAGCUAUGCUCAACACCCCUAGAAACAAUUUCUAAGUCAAACGUGUAAGGAGAAGGGAAGGCAAGAGAGGACGUGUGGCAGGAACACUUUGGAUAAUAUUAUCUUCGAGCAAUAAGAAGCCUUUCAAUUUUUUUGAGCAAGAAAAUGAGAUAUUUGGCGCUUUGCUUCAGGAAGAUAACACUGACAAGAAGUCUGCAAGAUGAAGGACCACUUCCCAAGCCACGCUCAGCCCCCUCCUACCUUUCCUCACAUAAAGACUGACCUUGUAAUUAAGGGUGACCAUAAAACCCAGAUCUGGACAUGAGGCCAUGUAUGGGAGUGUUUCAGGUGAGACCCUGGCUUCCUCAGAACAGCGUAAGAGGUGCAGCUGGCAAUACCUCUGUGUCUCCGUUUCUGGCUUUACCAAGUCUGAGUGUGACAACUAAAGCUCCAACAGCCAUUUUCUACCAGAGAUGACGGGAGCAGGGGACAGAAAGGUGUGACCUCACUGCAAUGCUCAGUCACUGAACCAGCCUUGGACUCAUUGUGUUAAGAUUUCUAAAAACUGCUAGCUCUUUUUUUUGUUCUUUGCAGACAAACAUACUCUGAGAGAACUGUCAGCAAUGAAUUUCUGAUGCUUAAGUCACCCAGCCUGUGAUAUUUCAUGAUAGGAGCCUUAAGAAAUGAAUGCCCAGUUAAAGCCAAAUACAGAGAAAACAACUUAACCUUAGUGGGUUUUUAGUUUCAUUGAUAAAAUGAUUCAAAAAUGAACUUGAAAGGAAGCUUGAGGUCAGUUGUAUCUGGUUUGAGAGAAAAACAACAGGGCAGGCAAGCUGCUCAGGGAGGAAGAUGCAAAGAGAAGGAAAUCCACAGCAUUUGUAACCAGCCACAGGGAAGAUAUUGGGGAUGGAGUCACUGCAAAAAGGUGGAGGAAGGGUAAGGAAGGGGGAGGGAAGAGGGAGAGAGAGGAAGGGAGAAGAUGAGUGAGAGAGAGGGAAUGGAGAAAGACACACACACACACACACACACAGAGAGAGAGAGAGAGAGAGAGAAAGAGAGAGAGGUUGUACUUUCUGAGUAACUUGGAAAAGCCGGCAGACCUUAUAGCUGCACCAUGGAGGCUUUCAGGUGGGGCCUUGAGGGCGGGGCUUCCGGGAAGGACAAGUACAUUAUUUUCAGAAGGGUGUAAUUAUUCC
ensembl:lncRNA